ACGUAGGUGGCAAGCGUUGUCCGGAAUUAUUGGGCGUAAAGCGCGCGCAGGCGGAUCGGUCAGUCUGUCUUAAAAGUUCGGGGCUUAACCCCGUGAUGGGAUGGAAACUGCCGAUCUAGAGUAUCGGAGAGGAAAGUGGAAUUCCUAGUGUAGCGGUGAAAUGCGUAGAUAUUAGGAAGAACACCAGUGGCGAAGGCGACUUUCUGGACGAAAACUGACGCUGAGGCGCGAAAGCCAGGGGAGCGAACGG
rnacentral:rRNA from 1 species